UACGUAGGUGGCAAGCGUUGUCCGGAUUUACUGGGCGUAAAGAGCGCGCAGGCGGUCGUUCAAGUCGCGUGUGAAAGCCCCCGGCUCAACUGGGGAGGGUCACGCGAUACUGAUCGACUCGAAGGCAGGAGAGGGUAGUGGAAUUCCCGGUGUAGUGGUGAAAUGCGUAGAUAUCGGGAGGAACACCAGUGGCGAAGGCGACUACCUGGCCUGUUCUUGACGCUGAGAAGCGAAAGCGUGGGGAGCAAACAGG
rnacentral:rRNA from 1 species